CCUACGGGUGGCAGCAGUGGGGAAUAUUGCGCAAUGGGCGAAAGCCUGACGCAGCGACGCCGCGUGAGGGAUGAAGGUCUUCGGAUCGUAAACCUCUGUCAGCAGGGCAGAACGGUCACGGUGCUAAUCAGCAGGGAAUUGACGGUACCUACAAAGGAAGCACCGGCUAACUCCGGGCCAGCAGCCGCGGUACUACGGAGGGUUCGAGCGUUCAUCGGAAUGACUGGGCGUAAAGCGCGCGAAGGCGGUAUGUCAAGUCAAGGGUGAAAUCCCCUCGCUCAACUUGGGAACUGCCCUUGAAACUGGCAAACUAGAGUGUGUGAGAGGAUAGUGGAAUUCCAGGUGUAGGAGUGAACUCCGUAGAUAUCUGGAGGAACAUCAGUGGCGAAGGCGCCUAUCUGGCACAUAACUGACGCUGAGGAGCGAAAGCGUGGGUAGCAAACAGGAUUAGAUACCCGGGUAGUC
rnacentral:rRNA from 1 species